AACGAACGCUGGCGGCAGGCCUAACACAUGCAAGUCGAACGGGAUCUUCGGAUCUAGUGGCGGACGGGUGAGUAACGCGUGGGAACGUGCCCUUUGGUUCGGAAUAGCCCCGGGAAACUGGGAGUAAUACCGGAUAAGCCCUACGGGGGAAAGAUUUAUCGCCAAAGGAUCGGCCCGGGUUGGAUGAGGUUGUUGGUGAGGUAAUGGCUCACCAAGCCGACGAUCCAUAGCUGGUUUGGGAGGAUGAUCAGCCACACUGGGACUGAGACACGGCCCAGACUCCUACGGGAGGCAGCAGUGGGGAAUCUUAGACAAUGGGGGAAACCCUGAUCUAGCCAUGCCGCGUGAUCGAUGAAGGCCUUAGGGUUGUAAAGAUCUUUCAGUGGGGAAGAUAAUGACUGUACCCACAGAAGAAGCCCCGGCUAACUCCGUGCCAGCCGCCGCCGUAA
rnacentral:rRNA from 1 species